AGCAGCCGCGGUAAUUCCAGCUCCAAUAGCGUAUAUUAAAGUUGUUGCAGUUAAAAAGCUCGUAGUUGAAUUUCGGGAUCAGUACGCUGGUCGUGCCUUUGGUAUGUACUGGUGUCACUGAUUCCUCCCUUCUGAAGAACCGUUAUGCCAUUUAUUUGGUGUGGCGGGAAAUCAGGACUGUUACUUUAGAAAAAAUUAGAGUGUUUAAAGCAGGCUCGCACUUGAAUACAUUAGCAUGGAAUAAUGAAAUAGGACGUUUGAUCUUAUUUUGUUGGUUUCUAGGAUCGACGUAAUGAUUAAUAGGGAUAGUUGGGGGCAUUAGUAUUCAAUUGUCAGAGGUGAAAUUCUUGGAUUUAUUGAAGACUAACUACUGCGAAAGCAUUUGCCAAGGAUGUUUUCAUUAAUCAAGAACGAAAGUUAGGGGAUCGAAGACGAUCAGAUACCGUCGUAGUCUUAACCAUAAACUAUGCCGACUAGGGAUCGGAUGAUGUUAAUUUUUAAUGACUCAUUCGG
rnacentral:rRNA from 1 species